rnacentral:lncRNA from 1 species
GCUUAUGGCUGGUGUUUUGAGGUUUGAAAGCUGGUGACAGAACUGAUGUCUAAGACAUUUAUAAUUUUUUUCUGGGGGAAAAAAGGGAAAGGAUCAUUUAUAACUUAUGUGAGUCACUGUUUGAUACUCAAAACCAUGUACUAUAAAUAUUUUUAUUAAGAGAAGUUUGUAUCUGUUCCCCAAGAGCACUGCAGUCCAUCCAGCAGUUGAACUGGUAUUUCCGUUGUGGAGAUGGAUGCUCUUCUCCGGAGAGGCCUUUCUUUCUCCUCCAACACUAGUGGAAUAAAGAAAUCCUUUGGGGAGAAGCACUCACUGGGGAUUAGCUGCAAGUGGACCCAGCAGCUUGGUGGCUCCCCAGAGGGUUGACCUCUGACUCCUGGGUCAGAUGCUGACUUGUCUUUCGCCUCCUGGCCGAGCAAGCUGAAGGUUCCCAACAAGUGUUUGUUCUGUCCUCACUGGUUUCCCUCCAUGCAGAGAUGGGCAGUGCAGGAGAUGGGUUCUGUGUUAUCACAGCUGCUACUCCACGAAAGCAGGGGAAAUUGAUAAAGUAGAUAGAAUAUCAAAGGCUAUGGUAACUGUUAUUGGAAGGAAACCAUAACCUGUUUUACCACCUAGGGGGACCUGCCUGAUUUGCUCCUCUAUGAUUUCAGAGCUGCUUUUCCAGCAGGGUUUUUCCUGCACAGCAGUGGUUCUUCAAUUCAUUGCAGAGUUGAAAGGUGUAAAGAGUGGCUUUUGGAAAGUUUCUGCUAUGGAUGGUAACUCUACCUAGGCCUGAUGGUAUCAUGGAUGCUGUGGUGGUGGCAGAGAAAGGUAUCAAGGGAGCUGCUUGCACAAGCUAUAACUGCUGUAUAUUAAUAGAACUCAUUUACUUUGGCUAAGAAGUUACAAGCAAUGUGUUUGGGAUGCAAAACGCUGUAAGAAGAGAAGCAAAGUUUAAACUGAAACCUUGUAUGUAAUGGAGGUUAGAUUUUAUGUGUAAGGCUAAUAUGUAGAUGAGUACCACUGAGCAAAUGAAUUAUGCAGAUUAACUCUGCCUUUGAGAAGACUGGUUAAACACUAUGCUAUCCACUGCUUUCCACUGCCUUUGAAAUCCUGGCUGUUUUACAAAGCAGUCAACUGCAUCUUUUAUCAGGUUA